GUAGUCCACGCCGUAAACGAUGAAUACUAGGUGUAGGGGUUGUCAUGACCUCUGUGCCGCCGCUAACGCAUUAAGUAUUCCGCCUGGGGAGUACGGUCGCAAGAUUAAAACUCAAAGGAAUUGACGGGGGCCCGCACAAGCAGCGGAGCAUGUGGUUUAAUUCGAAGCAACGCGAAGAACCUUACCUAGACUUGACAUCUCCUGCAUUACUCUUAAUCGAGGAAGUCCCUUCGGGGACAGGAUGACAGGUGGUGCAUGGUUGUCGUCAGCUCGUGUCGUGAGAUGUUGGGUUAAGUCCCCGCAACGAGCGCAACCCUUAUUGUUAGUUGCCAUCAUUAAGUUGGGCACUCUAGCGAGACUGCCCGGGUUAACCGGGAGGAAGGUGGGGAUGACGUCAAAUCAUCAUGCCCCUUAUGUCUAGGGCUACACACGUGCUACAAUGGUCGGUACAAUAAGACGCAAGCCCGCGAGGGGGAGCAAAACUGGAAAACCGAUCUCAGUUCGGAUUGUAGGCUGAAACUCGCCUACAUGAAGCUGGAGUUGCUAGUAAUCGCGAAUCAGCAUGUCGCGGUGAAUACGUUCCCGGGCCUUGUACACACCGCCCGUCACACCAUGAGAGUUGGCAAUACCCAAAGUACGUGAUCUAACCCGCAAGGGAGGAAGCGUCCUAAGGUAGGGUCAGCGAUUGGGGUGAAGUCGUAACAAGGUAGCCGUAGGAGAACC
rnacentral:rRNA from 1 species